rnacentral:rRNA from 1 species
UACAGGGGUGCAAACGUUGCUCGGAAUCAUUGGGCGUAAAGCGCACGUAGGCGGUCUGUUAUGUCGGAUGUGAAAAGCCCUUGGCUCAACCUGAGGAAGUGCAUCCGAAACUGGCAGGUAGAGUACUAAAGAGGAGUGCGGAAAUUCCCGGUGUAGAGGUGAAAAUUCGUAGAUAUCGGGAGGAACACCGGUGGCGAAGGCGGCGAUCUGGGUAGAU